GACGAACGCUGGCGGCGUGCUUAACACAUGCAAGUCGAACGGAAAGGCCCUGCUUUUGUGGGGUGCUCGAGUGGCGAACGGGUGAGUAACACGUGAGUAACCUGCCCUUGACUUUGGGAUAACUUCAGGAAACUGGGGCUAAUACCGGAUAGGAGCUCCUGCUGCAUGGUGGGGGUUGGAAAGUUUCGGCGGUUGGGGAUGGACUCGCGGCUUAUCAGCUUGUUGGUGGGGUAGUGGCUUACCAAGGCUUUGACGGGUAGCCGGCCUGAGAGGGUGACCGGCCACAAUAGGACUGAGAUACGGCCCAGACUCGUACGGGAGGCAGCAGUGGAGAAUAUUGCACAAUGGGCGGAAGCCUGAUGCAGCAACGCCGCGUGCGGGAUGACGGCCUUCGGGUUGUAAACCGCUUUCGCCUGUGACGAAGCGUGAGUGACGGUAAUGGGUAAAGAAGCACCGGCUAACUACGUG
rnacentral:rRNA from 1 species